rnacentral:rRNA from 1 species
UUUUCUUAGUAGCGGCGAGCGAAAAGAAAACAGUUCAGCACUAAGUCACUUUAUCUUUUAUGGUAAAUGUGAGAUGCAGUGUAUGGAACGUCUUCAAUCUAGUAUGAGAAAUUGAUGAUUUAAGUCCUUCUUAAAUGAGGCCAAUUACCCAUAGAGGGUGCCAGGCCCGUAUAACAUUAAUGAUUACUAGAAGAUGAUUCCAAAGAGUCGUGUUGCUUGAUAGUGCAGCACUAAGUUGGUGGUAAACUCCAUCUAAAACUAAAUAUGACCAUGAGACCGAUAGUAAACAAGUACCGUGAGGGAAAGUUGAAAAGAACUCUGAAUAGAGAGUUAAAUAGUACGUGAAACUGCUUAGAGGUUAAGCCCGAUGAACCUGAAUAUCCAUUAUGAAAAAUUCAUCAUUAAAAUUGUAAUAUCUUUUUAAUGUAAUAUUAUAAUGAUAGUGUGCAUUUUUUUCAUAUAAGGACAUUGUAAUCUAUUAACAUAAAAUAUUAGAUGUAUUUAUCAAAAAUUUCUAGAUUUUUAAGUUUAUUCAAAUUAAUAUGCAUUUUGUGUGCAUUUUAACAUAGAAUAAAUAUUUAUAAAUUGAUAAAGUGUUGAUAGACUUAUUCAUUUAUACUGUGCUUUAAUUUUUCGAAAUUAUAUAAUAGCAUAAUAAUCAAUGAUUUUCUAUGUUUAUUAUAUGCAUAUGUAUGAUUAACAAUGCGAAAGAUUCAGGAUACCUUCGGGACCCGUCUUGAAACACGGACCAAGGAGUCUAACAUAUAUGCAAGUCAUUGGGAUUUUAUAAACCUAAUGGCGUAAUUAACUUAACUUUUUUUUAAUUAAUUGGGAUUAGUUUUUCAAUUAUAUAUAGUUGUUUAACACAAUCCCGGGGCGUUCUAUAUAGUUAUGUAUAAUAAUAUUUAUUAUUAUUU